rnacentral:rRNA from 1 species
GUAGGUGGCAAGCGUUGUCCGGAAUUAUUGGGCGUAAAGCGCGCGCAGGCGGUCCUUUAAGUCUGAUGUGAAAGCCCACGGCUCAACCGUGGAGGGUCAUUGGAAACUGGGGGACUUGAGUACAGAAGAGGAAAGCGGAAUUCCAAGUGUAGCGGUGAAAUGCGUAGAGAUUUGGAGGAACACCAGUGGCGGAGGCGGCUUUCUGGUCUGUAACUGACGCUGAGGCGCGAAAGCGUGGGGAGCAAACAGGAUUAGAUACCCUGGUAGUCCACGCCGUAAACGAUGAGUGCUAAGUGUUAGGGGGUUUCCCGCCCCCUUAGUGCUGCAGCUAACGCAUUAAGCACUCCGCCUGGGGAGUACGGCCGCAAGGCUG